CACGGGGGGAGCAAGCGUUGUUCGGAAUCACUGGGCGUAAAGGGCGUGUAGGCGGUUCGGUAAGUGGAAUGUGAAAUCCCUCGGCUCACCCGAGGACCUGCCAUCCCAAACUGCCGAGCUUGAGUAUGGGAGAGGAUGAGGGAAUUCCUGGUGUAGCGGUGAAAUGCGCGAUAUCAGGAGGAACACCAGUUGCGAAAGGCAGCUCUGGCGU
rnacentral:rRNA from 1 species